CAACUUUUAAGGGUAUAUCUCACAUUUUCUUCAUGCUCGAUUGCAGGUUUUGAAUUAGGGUGAAACCAUUGAGUUACAUGGAUGCAAAUUAUCAUGCAGCUGCUUGAAAAAGCAGGAAGUCAUUACCAGAAAGAGUGGUUUUUUAUAUGGUUUGGUGACUUCUGCAUCUUAAUUGGGUGCUAUCCUACUGAGCUUUUCUACUCCUUUCUUUCUUUCUUUGUCUGACUUGUGUGUUCUUGACCUUGUAAGACCUUUUCUUGACCUUGUAAGACCUCAUGCCGUGUCUUUUCUUUUUAUUUUGUGUCGUUUUUCAAUUUUUACAGCAGAAUUUUCUGAUGUAGGAUUGGUUGUUCUCCUUCUCCGUUUCCACCCAACUCACUUUCUCCUUUCUUGUCUAUCCCUCCUGAGCUAUUUCGUAUAAAGUAUUCAUAAGCUAAUGCUAUGUAGUAUAUAUUCUUCUGGUAUGGCCAACCGUGUUAGACAGGCAGAAAGCCUG
rnacentral:lncRNA from 1 species